AGGAUGAGAUGCGCAAAGCUAGGGAGGUGGAGCUAAACCCAAAGGGCUCUUAGCGCUAUAAAAUCCUAACCAUACCUCCAGCAAAGGUACUCACCCCAUUUCCAUCGUUCAUUCUCGGAAACGCGAUCCGUAGCUCUUUUCGACCAAGGAAGUGUGCAGACUGGAGUCAAGAACCUGUGGAAGUAUUUAUUCAUGAAAGAAAUCCUGCUCCAACACCUCUUAAUAUCUGCAUAGGAAUAUCUACUUGGUUUGAAGACUUUGUAAUCCUCUAGCAAUCUUUCAAUUUUUAAUCGAUUAUCGUUUUCCUUUAUAUCAUAGCUAUAGACCUGAUAGACUGCAACAACCAGUAGUAAGAGGACGAAUGAACCCAUGGUUGCACCUAC